rnacentral:rRNA from 1 species
GAACGCUGGCUACAGGCUUAACACAUGCAAGUCGAGGGGAAACGGCAUUAAGUGCUUGCACUUUUUUGGACGUCGACCGGCGCACGGGUGAGUAACGCGUAUCCAACCUUCCCAUGACUAAGGGAUAACCUGCCGAAAGGCAGACUAAUACCUUAUGGUCUUCACUGACGGCAUCAGAUGUGAAGUAAAGAUUUAUCGGUUAUGGAUGGGGAUGCGUCUGAUUAGCUUGUUGGCGGGGUAACGGCCCACCAAGGCAACGAUCAGUAGGGGUUCUGAGAGGAAGGUCCCCCACAUUGGAACUGAGACACGGUCCAAACUCCUACGGGAGGCAGCAGUGAGGAAUAUUGGUCAAUGGGCGAGAGCCUGAACCAGCCAAGUAGCGUGCAGGAUGACGGCCCUAUGGGUUGUAAACUGCUUUUGUAUGGGGAUAAAGUCAGUCACGUGUGAUUGUUUGCAGGUACCAUACGAAUAAGGACCGGCUAAUUCCGUGCCAGCAGCCGCGGUAAUACGGAAGGUCCGGGCGUUAUCCGGACUUAUUGGGUUUAAAGGGAGCGUAGGCUGGAAAUUAAGUGUGUUGUGAAAUGUAGACGCUCAACGUCUGACUUGCAGCGCAUACUGGUUUCCUUGAGUACGCACAACGUUGGCGGAAUUCGUCGUGUAGCGGUGAAAUGCUUAGAUAUGACGAAGAACUCCGAUUGCGAAGGCAGCUGACGGGAGCGCAACUGACGCUGAAGCUCGAAGGUGCGGGUAUCGAACAGGAUUAGAUACCCUGGUAGUCCGCACAGUAAACGAUGGAUGCCCGCUGUUGGUACUUGGUAUCAGCGGCUAAGCGAAAGCAUUAAGCAUCC